rnacentral:rRNA from 1 species
UACGUAGGGGGCAAGCGUUGUCCGGAUUUAUUGGGCGUAAAGAGCUCGUAGGCGGUUCCGUAAGUCGGGUGUGAAAAAUCUGGGCUCAACCCAGUGGAGCACCCGAUACUGCGGUGACUCGAGUCCGGUAGGGGAGUGUGGGAUUCCUGGUGUAGCGGUGAAAUGCGCAGAUAUCAGGAGGAACACCGACGGCGAAGGCAGCACUCUGGGCCGGUACUGACGCUGAGGAGCGAAAGCAUGGGGAGCGAACAGG